rnacentral:lncRNA from 1 species
UUUAAAAGUGACUUUACGAUUUGCUUUACGUUACGUUAAGGCAGUUACAAAAACUACCUAUUUUAACAUUCAUCCUCUACGACACGUUAGUUGCUUUACGUAUACGGAGAUGCGUACGUUACGUAGCAACAAAAACUCCCUAAUGUCCAGCAAACGACGGCAAUGUUGCCAGAUUCCUUUUAGCGGGAAUUUUAAAAUUUUAUAGCAGUUUCGUUUUAAAUUUGACAGUUCUGUUUUCUCAAGUCAAAAAUCUUAACCUUACUUUUACAAGUGAUUAAGAUUAUUUUAUUUACAUGUAAAUUGAAACAAUAAAUAUUGUGCUUUGUCAUAAUUUAAAACUCAUUAUGUUGAAGUCUUUUCCAGUUGAUAAAAUUGCAAUUCAAAAACUUUUAGGUAGAUUUGUACUGUAUGGAUGGCACAGGAAGAGAACAGAGAACAAGAGUACAAGAACAUGAAACAUCUUAUUAUGAAUGUAUAUGUAUGUGAUCCUCAAAAAAUUAUUUUUCAAAACAAGAUAGAGAAUGAGCUUUAAAAUCCCAAGGAUCCUGCAAAAUGUCUAUUUGGUGUACUACUCGAAUAAUAGUAUCUAAAAAUAAUGAAACUGUUUUAAAACACAUUAUGGGCAUGAGGAUGAUAUAGAGCACUUACAUAAAUACCAAAAUCAGAUAAAUAUCUCUUCAAGUCAGUUUAUCAGUUUAUUUUGAGACUUUCUUCAAAAAUUAAACUUCAGACUGUCCAGGAUAGCAUAAUAGCAUAGGAGGCAAAUUAAAAAGAAUUAAUUUACUUACAAGAAGAGAUAUCACAAACAUUAAACUCUCUUAUGGCAUUGAUUUGAAAGAUGGGUAUAUGUACAAUGAUGAUGCAACCAGUGUUUAUUUUUGGGUUGAAUGCUUACAGAUUAUUUAUUUUUUCCAAUAUUAUUUUACAAACAACAGGGCAUACUAAUGGAUAUUCAUUCUGAAUUUAACAUUUAUGAUUUUUGUCUUAUUUUCCUUAAUACUGUGCCAAAAGGAAAUGUUAAUUAAGUUUGGCAAAUCCUUUAUCGCAAUCGAUGGAACUCAUGGGCUCAAUUCCUAUGACUUUGAACUUAUGACAGUAUUAGUAAAAGAUGAAUUUGGGAAUGGAUUUUGUACUGCUUUCUUAUUUUCAAAUAGAAAAGAUACCUACUUUAAUUUA